rnacentral:rRNA from 1 species
GACGAACGCUGGCGGCGUGCUUAACACAUGCAAGUCGAACGGAAAGGCCCUGCUUUUGUGGGGUGCUCGAGUGGCGAACGGGUGAGUAACACGUGAGUAACCUGCCCUUGACUUUGGGAUAACUUCAGGAAACUGGGGCUAAUACCGGAUAGGAGCUCCUGCUGCAUGGUGGGGGUUGGAAAGAUUCGGCGGUUGGGGAUGGACUCGCGGCUUAUCAGCUUGCUGGUGGGGUAGUGGCUUACCAAGGCUUUGACGGGUAGCCGGCCUGAGAGGGUGACCGGCCACAUUGGGACUGAGAUACGGCCCAGACUCCUACGGGAGGCAGCAGUGGGGAAUAUUGCACAAUGGGCGGAAGCCUGAUGCAGCAACGCCGCGUGCGGGAUGACGGCCUUCGGGUUGUAAACCGCUUUCGCCUGUGACGAAGCGUGAGUGACGGUAAUGGGUAAAGAAGCACCGGCUAACUACGUG